UUACCAGACUCCUACGGGAGGCAGCAGUGAGGAAUAUUGGUCAAUGGGCGAGAGCCUGAACCAGCCAAGUCGCGUGAGGGAGGACGGUCCUAUGGCUUGUAAACCUCUUUUGCCGGGGAGCAAAAAGCGGUACGUGUACCGCAUCGAGAGUACCCGGAGAAAAAGCAUCGGCUAACUCCGUGCCAGCAGCCGCGGUAAUACGGAGGAUGCGAGCGUUAUCCGGAUUUAUUGGGUUUAAAGGGUGCGUAGGCGGCCUUUUAAGUCAGCGGUGAAAGUCUGUGGCUCAACCAUAGAAUUGCCGUUGAAACUGGGGGGCUUGAGUAUGUUUGAGGCAGGCGGAAUGCGUGGUGUAGCGGUGAAAUGCAUAGAUAUCGCGCAGAACUCCGAUUGCGAAGGCAGCAUGCCGGCUCCACACUGACGCUGAGGCACGAAAGCGUGGGUAUCGAACAGGAUUAGAUACCCGGGUA
rnacentral:rRNA from 1 species